rnacentral:lncRNA from 1 species
GGGAAAUUUUUGGCUGCACAAGCUUGGAAUGAGUAUAAGCAAGUGGUCACAGCUGAAUUCCCUGAUUGAAUUGGGUGAAAACAGAGCUCUAGAAAAAGAUCAUCCAAACACAUCUGAAGUUUGUUCUGAUCUUGACCACAAAGUUGCUGAGCUGGAAGAGUGUAAAACAAAAGAAGAGUUUCCAUAUAUCCCAUACAAACUAGCUACACUGUAUAUUCUAAAGGUUGUAAAAGACAUGCAGGAAAUGAAAAGCAAACACAUGAAGAUAAUCAAACAACUAGACAAUUUAAAAAAAGAAAAACAGGAGCAGACUAUAACUACCGUAAAACUAUAUGGUGACAAAAUCAGGAGUCUGAAAUCUCAAUUAGAAGCUUACCGAGAGCUGAUGAACAAGAACAGACAAAACUGGCAAAAUACAGCUAAGGGCCUGAGGGAAAGUAACAAUCAGCUAAGCCAAGAGAAGGAAGAUCUUCUUCACCAAAUGAAACAACAAACAGAGAAAUGGGAAGAAAAAAAGGUCUGGAUCCUUGAAAAUCUGUCUAAAAAAAUCAGUCAUCUUUACACCCGGCAUGCACUGACUUUGCAGGAAUUUCGUAACAUCAGCCUACAUGUGGGAAGAGUGUCAGACCUCGUGAAUUUCCAGAUUAAAAUCCUUCAGCAAAAAUAUGAAAAGACCGAAGUAGAAAAAGCAGAUGUACCGAUUUUAAAAUCAAAAGCAGAACAAGUAGCUAAUAAAGAAAAGUCUGAAAGCACAGUGGAAAUAGGACCUCUUUGGCAAGCACAUGCCAUCCUGCAAAAGAUACAGGAGUCUUUAUGGAAACAAGAAAGAGAAGUUACUGAGCUCCUGGAAAGUGAAAGGAGAUAUAACAACACAAUGAAACCUCAAAUUACAGUCCUAGUAUUCUUGCAAAAUCUGGUCAAGAAGGUUCACACCAUAUACUCUGAUGUCCCUGAGGCACAGCAGUACCUCAGUCAGCUUGUCAAGAAGAAUGAGGUUGAAAGGGCUGAUUGGAAAGGAGCCUUUAAUAAUGCUCAGGCUGACAUUUUGUCCUAUGAGGUAUUUUGUGGAAAUGAACCUAUGGAUGACAAAAGUGACAGGACGCAGCUGUCAACAAAGCUUUUCAGAAAUUUUGAGAGAGCAAAGUCUGAAUUAGAAUUUGUUGAAACAGAGAAGACAGUUUUUGAUUGUAUCCAGACAGGAGAAAUCCCCAACUGGAUUAAAAGGGAUUGUCUUUAUGUAGCCUUGACAGGUGGCCAAGAGAACCAUGAAACAGUAAAAAACACACCAACAAUGGAACAAUUUUCCUCUUUUAAGGGGAGACACUGGAUGGACAUCUUGGAUAAUGCAGUUAGUAGCUUUGUGAUAAAAAAAUUAAUUGGAAGAAAUUCAAGCCCACUGUUCACUCUCAAUAAACUUUUGUAGGAGUUUAAGUGUUUUGAAACUUUUAGUCAUAUUAAGAAAUAUUUCAAAGACAUUUUUGAAAACAACAAAACACACACGCACAAAACCCCCCACUAUUAUAUCCUGAAAGAGUCUGACUAAACUAAAGGGCCUAGAUACUUUCUUUAAGCAGAUACAGAUCUAUCUGUUUGUAAGUGGAUGGGAUUCAUCUAAAUAAACUUCCAGUGUCUAAAACUGUGCA